GGAGGGGUGUCCGAGAGGCCUAAGGAGGCGGUCUUGAAAACCGCUGUUAUCGCAAGGUAACCGUGGGUUCGAAUCCCACCCCCUCCGCCA
rnacentral:tRNA from 1 species